rnacentral:lncRNA from 10 species
GGCUUGGAGAAGGGGCUUUGCACCCGCCGCCGCUGUUUGUCCUCGCGCGGCCCCCGUCCACUGCCCUGCGGUUGCUCUGCGGGCUGAAAAGUUUCUCCCGGUGCAGAAUUCCGGGCUCAGCGACAGCCUGCGCCGAGUGUGCGCACCUGUCGGAGACCCGCCAGUCCGCCGGCCGCGGUGACUGAUUUUGGCUUAGCGGUGAAGAAGCAAAGUAGGAGUGAAGCCAUGCUGCAGGCCACAUGUGGGACUCCUAUCUAUAUGGCCCCUGAAGUUAUCAGUGCCCACGACUAUAGCCAGCAGUGUGACAUUUGGAGCAUAGGCGUCGUAAUGUACAUGUUAUUACGUGGAGAACCACCCUUUUUGGCAAGCUCAGAAGAGAAGCUUUUUGAGUUAAUAAGAAAAGGAGAACUACAUUUUGAAAAUGCAGUCUGGAAUUCCAUAAGUGACUGUGCUAAAAGUGUUUUGAAACAACUUAUGAAAGUAGAUCCUGCUCACAGAAUCACAGCUAAGGAACUACUAGAUAACCAGUGGUUAACAACGGAGUCUCGCUCUGUCACCAGGCUGGAGUGCAGUGACACAAUCUCGGCUCACUGCAACCUCUGCCUCCUGGGUUCAAGUCAACUGCAACCUCUGCCUCCUGGGUUCAAGUGAUUCUCCUGCCUCAGCCUCCUGAGGGACUAAAGGCAUGCACCACCAUGCCCAGCAAUUUUUUGUAUUUUUAGUAGACACAGAAUUUCACCAUAUUGGCCAGGAUGGUCUCGAUCUCUUGGCCUCAUCAUCUGCCCGGCUCGGCCUCCCAAAGUGCUGGGAUUACAGGUGUGAGCCACCAUGCCCGGCCGAUAAUAUUCUUAAAAGAUCACUCUGACUAUUGGGGUGGGGGGGAGUGGCUUGGAAAUAGGGAAUUAGAUAGAUGUUGAAGUA